rnacentral:rRNA from 1 species
CCAGUACUAAUUGCCCGUGUGGCUUGAUCCUAUAACCCUUGAGGUUGUA